AGUGAACGCUGGCGGUAGGCCUAACACAUGCAAGUCGAACGGCAGCACAGUAAUAGCUUGCUCUUACGGGUGGCGAGUGGCGGACGGGUGAGGAAUACAGCGGAAUCUACUUUUUCGUGGGGGAUAACGUAGGGAAACUUACGCUAAUACCGCAUACGACCUACGGGUGAAAGCAGGGGAUCUUCGGACCUUGCGCGAUUGAAUGAGCCGAUGUCGGAUUAGCUAGUUGGCGGGGUAAAGGCCCACCAAGGCGACGAUCCGUAGCUGGUCUGAGAGGAUGAUCAGCCACACUGGAACUGAGACACGGUCCAGACUCCUACGGGAGGCAGCAGUGGGGAAUAUUGGACAAUGGGCGCAAGCCUGAUCCAGCCAUACCGCGUGGGUGAAGAAGGCCUUCGGGUUGUAAAGCCCUUUUGUUGGGAAAGAAAAGCAGCAGGUUAAUACCCCGCUGUUCUGACGGUACCCAAAGAAUAAGCACCGGCUAACUUCGUG
rnacentral:rRNA from 1 species